AAGGUACUUCCCCUCCUAGAGUUACACAAUCUUCCCACCACCACCUAUCACAAAGUGAAAAAUAUGAGCUUUUUAAGAAAGGAGAAUGUCUCAGUGAACACACAGUAUGGUCCUUCCUUUACCAUGAAAGUGGGUAUCCAAAUGGUAUGAGGAGAGAUGCUGUUAUAGACCAGAUGGCAGCACUCUUCCCUAAUGGUACAGAUGAUCACUGUUUGUGUACCAAGAGUUUUGAUCUACAUUACAGUGGAGGCCAAGAUAGAACAGCUUGAGACUGUGCAAGGCAUUCCCAUAGUAUCCCGUAUAGAAGUGCUAUAUCACAUUUCCUCAACCAUAUGAAUAUUGCUCAACCAACGCCGCAAUCUUGCCAUUCGCAUACAGCUGUUUGGCAGGAACUUACUCAGAUUGUAGAACACAACCGUAAUGGUCACAACUGUGCAGAGAACUUGAUACGACAUUUGAAUGGUAAUUUACUAUGUUUGUUGGUUGAAAU